AUAACACUAAAUAAACAUGCAUUUUUUAGUUUCAUAGACAUUUUUUUCAAUGUAUAAUACUAUAAUAGAAAUAACGGAAUUAGCGUGUGCAACGAAAAAUUUUCGUUGAUCUUCGCUGGCAAAUGCAAUCAAUCGAUUCCGGGCUUUCACUAAGUGAGCGUUGUCGGUUUUAUAACAGCAAGUAAAAUGGAUUUGGACAAUAUCAAAUUUGAGUUUAAGGAAGGAAGCCGUGCAGGUUGCUCUCAAUUAUUAUAUACUCCAAGUAACCAACAAAUUUACAAAAAAAAUAAACAAUUAAAUCGUUCAAAGGAUUACAGAGCACGGGUUUAUUUAAGUGCAGAUAGGGCUCGCGUCUUUUCCAAUCCUGAAAAAAUUAAGCAUAUUCAUGGACCACAAGCCCAUGAAAUGGAAAAAAUCGAAGUGCUGUCGCAAAUAAAAUUGAAGUGUCAAACCAAUUCCGGCGACACCAAAAAAAUAUUUAAUGAUGUUCUCGCGAGGUAAGUACACAUACAUGCACGCAUACAUACAAGAAUUAGUAUGCAUAAAUGGUACAUAUGUAUAUUUAUUCAAAAACAUGACGGUGUGUGUGUGUGUAUUAUUCAGAAAUUGAUAUACAUAAUUGAAUUUAAUAUUUUUUGUUUCUAUUUAUAAUCAUUUAGAAAAACAAAUGGAGAAGAGGAAAUAGAAAUAAGUUAUGAUACGGUGAAACGCACUCUACAGCGAAAAAGACAACCCUUUCUUCCAAAAUCUCCAAUUACUCCCGAGGACGUUCGCGAUGCUUUCAAUGAUGAAAAUAUCAUGAACCGUUUUGGCAUGACAAAAGGAAAUUUUCCGAAAGUUUUUUUUAAGAAAUUAUAUGCAUCAAGUUCAUUUGCCUAUUGUGUAUUUGCGUCUGACAAGGUCAUCACUUUGAUGCAAGCCAAUAUUGAGGAGCAGAAUAGGCAUUUUUUAAUGUUUGCCUUUUCGGGGACUUUAAGCAACUGCUUCCUAUUUAUGUUAAACACAUGCAAAAGAUAACACCGUUCCUAUUUGUUUUGAUGACUCGAAAAACAGAGCUCUGUUACCAACACCUAUUUACAUAUGUUGACUCGAAUAUUUGCUGUCUAAAUGGUGCAUCAUUUAUAUCGGAUUAUGAGAAGGCGAUGCGCAACGCUUUGAAAAAUUUGCAUCCAAACAUGAAUUUCUUUGCUUGCUGGUGCCAUUUUACCCAAAAAAAAUGCAAUCAAAACUAUUGGUUUGUUGAAAAUGCUUUCGUGCCAUAAACAUGCGUAUAUGCAAUAAACUUGCGUAUAUGCUUUUUAUGAAAUUUCUAUAUUUAGCUCUUUUACCGGAAUGAAAGAUUGUUGAAGCAUAUAGUCUUCUUGAAGCUCAAGCCUUAGAUAAGAAGAUGUUUUCUCCCUUUUUAAAAUUUUUAAGAAGCAGUGGCUUAAGAAGGAAGGACCUAAAAAUAUAUCGGUAUACAAACAAUCCACAAGAACCACGGGCUCAGUUGAAGCAUACAAUUUAAAUCUGGGCAAUAAAAUUCGAGCAAAGGGACACUUCUUCAAAUUUGUGGAAUGUAUCAUUGAUGCGGAGUAUGAAAAAAGUCGAGAAUUCGCUCUUCUCUUUCAAAAUGGUGGGAUAGGUAAUUCAAUACAACGAAAACCUAUACGUGAUCGCGCUCAAAAAAUUAUGGAUGCAAUGGAUUUGUUUGACAAGGGAGAAAUUGACAAACAGGACCUAUUCGACAGUGUGCAUAUGGACUCCAAUUUGUCGGGAAUGUCAUCUAAAAUGAAGGCAUCAACAUCAUCGCUUUCGUCAAGUGACUCAAAAUCAUUCAAAUUAAUCCCUGCAAUGUAUGUCUCAUCGAACCAAAAUUUUUAUGGUUUUAUUGCGCCCAUGUAAUCAUAAUCAUAUCAUAAUAUUUGUGCAGCAUGUUGGGAUCAAAUUCUGGCUCAUAAUCAAGAACAGAACGAUGAUCCUAACGAUCCUGACAUUGGUGAAUCAAAAUGUCCAACGUGUCAACAAGUUGUCAAAGAAGCUAUCCGUAAUGCUUAUAUAUAUAAUUAAAAAAUUAAAAUAAUAAACUAAGUUUCAUGCACAUUAAAUAAAUGUAUAAAUAUGGGCAAUUCUCUGACAGAAUUUGUGCUACCGUCUUUACAGUGAAAAAAACAUAAACUAAACCAACUUGAAAAUAAGUGAGUGAUUCUUACUAAU